UCCGAGUUGACCCCGGCAGUCUCCCACGAGUCCCCGCCAUUACGCGCUGGCAACAUAGGAUAAGGGUUGCGCUCGUUGCGGGACUUAACCCAACAUCUCACGACACGAGCUGACGACAGCCAUGCACCACCUGUGCACGAGCCCCGAAGGGCUGCCGUAUUUCUACGACAUUCCCGAGCACAGGAUGUCAAACCCUGGUAAGGUUCUGCGCGUUGCGUCGAAUUAAACCACAUGCUCCACCGCUUGUGCAGGCCCCCGUCAAUUUCUUUGAGUUUUAACCUUGCGGCCGUACUCCCCAGGCGGAUGACUUAACGCGUUAGCUGCGCCACCGAAACGCUAGGCGCCCCGACAGCUAGUCAUCAUCGUUUACGGCGUGGACUAC
rnacentral:misc_RNA from 1 species